AAAAGAAAAAAAAUUUGCACGAAAAAUGAAAUUUCGCUGGUCAAAAUAAUAUUUUCCUUCAAGCGUUUACUGUUUACUUAAUUUAUAGCUUUGUUUUUUUAGAGAUAGGGAGCAUGCUACCUGCUUCGUUCAUUUAAUUUAUAGCAUUUACUGUUUACUUUAUAUUUUAGCUAAGCAGGUAGCUAAAAGCAUCUACUCCUAUUUGUAGCUGUAUAUUAAACAAAGUGGAUAGCUAAUACCACACUACAAAAAAAUUAACAUUUAAGCAUACUUUUUUAUUAUAUUUAACGUUGCUUAAAAUCGUCCUAAUAUAGUCUAGUGUGACAUUUAAAUGCUAUUAAAACGUCGCCACGUAUAUACCGAUACUUAUGCCAAAAAUAAAAAAAAAUAAUAAAGUUUUUCAUCCAAUAAAUUAAUUUGUUAUAAUAAAUGGUUCAUAUGAAAAUAUUUUUUGAAAUGUCGAUAUUUGCUAUAUUAUAGAGAGCAUGCAGAUGCCUUUUUUAAGUGUUAUUUAAAAAACAUCCUUGUAUUAAGAUUUUUUUUUAUACUGCCACUUAAUUGUAACUGCACAUUUGUGCAGUGUAAAAAAUAAACCAAGUGGCUAACUAAAAACACCUACUAACGGUAUAUUCGUGCAAUGCAUCACUAUUUCAAUACAACCAUCAAAUUUAUUGUGAUAUAGAAAUUUGUGGAAAUUGGUGGACAAUGAGUGGGUUGACGUUGGGAGAGGUGACUGAAGUAAAUGGAGACUAGUCGACGAAACAAGGUCGAACUAUUGGAUGUUAAUUUUUUUCGAUAAAAAUGUUGGGAGACCGCCCCUCACUGAUUGUAUAUUUUGAAAUAGCCCUCUUAAGUGUUUUUUUUUAAAAAAAAAAUACUAUACAUACACACUAAAAAAACGGAUAUGAUAUAUAUCCCAUCCAUCUAAGGAGUGAAAAUUAUNUUUUUUUUUUUUUUUUGUUUUCGGUUCGAGACCCCGGUUGUCUCACCCCUGUAGCCUAAUUCAUCAUUUCAAUGAAUGAAGCAUGUAGCGUGCUAUCUAUUCUCAAAAAAUAUACUUUUACGUUCUCCGGUGGAACCGCAGAAAAUAUAUUGUAACUGACUCAUCGCGAUAUGUGGAACGCAAUAUUACGUACGGAAACAAAUAAGAUAUUUUUCCAACGUACUUUCUCACCGCAUAUAGCGCAAUCUUUCUUUAAUCUCAAACGAAGCCUAAGUUUUUUGCCAUUUGUGUUAGUAACACUCAGUAUAUCUAUGUGUGUGUUGAUACUUGAUACAGUUUAAUAGUCCCUUUGGUACAUGCUCUGUCAACUAGCUACUAGUGUAAAGAGAUGCACAUGCAGGUCUAUCUUCUUUUCUUACCUAAAGUUUCUUGCAUUGAAUUGUUCCCUCUCUAACAAAAUUCUUUUUUUAAUGUCUUGUUACAGGUUGGAAGCUAUCUUGGUACACAUAUAAAAUUCUCAAAAAGGAAAAAGAAAAUGGGACGAGUAAAUUAUGUUUGGAUUGUUGAAAAAGAAAAAAAAUUUGCACGAAAAAUUAAAUUUUGCUGGUCAAAAUAAUAUUUUCCUUCAAGCAUUUACUGUUUACUUAAUUUAUAGCUUUGUUUUUUUAGAGAUAGGGAGCAUGCUACCCGAUUCGUUCAUUUUAUUUAGAAAUAAACUUAGCUGGAAAUGUGAAUCAACUAGAAUUCGAAUUUGGGUCUCAGAUACCAACCAUCAAACCCUUUACCACUUGAUCUAGGGACGGUCAAUUACUUAAUUUCACUACAACAAAAACGGUCUAUAGCGACACUUUUAAAUAUAGGUACAUGUCAAAAAAGUGCUGCUAGCUAAAAUUACCGACACUUUUAAAAAGUGUUGCUAUAUGUGGGGUCGCUAGGUAUAUAGUGACAGUUAAAGAGUGUCGCU
rnacentral:lncRNA from 1 species